GACGAACGCUGGCGGCGUGCUUAACACAUGCAAGUCGAACGGAAAGGCCCUGCUUUUGUGGGGUGCUCGAGUGGCGAACGGGUGAGUAACACGUGAGUAACCUGCCCUUGACUUUGGGAUAACUUCAGGAAACUGGGGCUAAUACCGGAUAGGAGCUCCUGCUGCAUGGUGGGGGUUGGAAAGUUUCGGCGGUUGGGGAUGGACUCGCGGCUUAUCAGCUUGUUGGUGGGGUAGUGGCUUACCAAGGCUUUGACGGGUAGCCGGCCUGAGAGGGUGACCGGCAAAGUGGGAACGGAAAUGCGGCCCGGCCCCCACGGGGAGGGGGCGGGGGGGAAUGGUAUACAGGGGGCGGGGCCCUAGCGCGCCAACGCCGGGUGGGGGUAGGGGUCCUGGGGUUAGUACCCCACUUCCCCUUUAGCAGAGGGGAGAGUGAGGGUAAGGGGAAAAGAGGCCCCGGCUAACUCGGUG
rnacentral:rRNA from 1 species